CUUCGAGCGAUUCACGUUUGUACGUGCUAGUGAUUUUACUGACUACUUGGUCCCAUCAACUUUGUGUGAUCGCAGUUACAAAAGACCGACUCACCUGCUGGCUUACGGAAUAAAGUCACAUUAGUGUGUGCAUUUACACAGAGUUUAAAAAAACCUUCGAUGACCAAUCAUAUCCCACUGUGAAAAAGCUUGGUCUUCAGUUUAUCUUUUUGUCGUUUGAACCGAAAAUAUCGGAUCAUCUCCAAAAUAAAUAUUAGAUCAUCAGUGACAUCGAUAUAAGAUUCCAAAUACAAGUGGCUCUCAUCCAAUAGGCUCAGAGAGAAAAGGAAAAACAGCCGAGCAGAACCAAUCGAUCUUGGUUGUCAAUAUUCAGAUACGAAUAAAACACUGUAAUAGAAGGUGAUAAUCGAAAUGGCAUCUGGUCGUACUUUCGAUUUAGUGUAUUUUCGCAUUAUAUUAUCGGAAAGUGGCGAGAACGGAGACAUCAUUAGUAUUGCAGCGAAACACGGAGAUAGAACAUUCAGCGUUUGGAUCCGCCCUUCAAAACCGGUUCCGUCGACUGCACGGCCAAUUAAAUAUGGAUUACGUCUUAGAUAUUUAGACUGGUUUUUUCAGGGUAAGAAGCUACGGACUGUGAACUUGGACAUGGCGUUAGAUGAGUUUGUGUCAUUUCUCAUGGAAUCACCACGAAAAGUUAUACUUGUUGGCUAUUUUGCGUAUUUUCCAAUCAUUCACCUGAUGCGAGCCAUUCAAAAAACUGAGAUGAUCGAUUCGUUUAAUGCUAUUAUUGGCGGUGUUGUAGAUGCUGUCAAACCUCUAUCUAAAAAAUUUACAAAUCGCAGGAGAGUCCAACAAUACUCAUUACCAGUUUUAUGUCGAGAUUUUUUGUAUGCGGAGUAUGUUGGCCACUGGCUCGAUUCAAUUUAUGCUCUGAGUGUUUUGGAAAACCUUGUAUCAAAAGAGAUAUCAACUGAAAAUUUAUUCCAAGCCGUUGUACCUUUUAGGAAGAUCAAUCCAUUUUUUUUGGAAUUUAAUCCUUUAGCACGUAUUAGUCCAGGUGCUACAUAAUCUGGUGGCGAAUCAGAAUGAAUAUUCGAAAUAACUUAAUUAAAGGAUUUUCUAUUGUAUUUGUGACUUAUUUGUCAGGAUUUUUUCUUUAUUAAUCCAGAAUGCAUUAAAAAGAAUCAGAAGAUCAGAAUUGUUGAAGAUGACAUAUGCAAAUCCCAAAUUAUUCAAUCGUCUGAUUAAUACCUAUUUCUCGAAUUGUUCUCGAUUUCGCUCGCGAUUUCGUAAGGACGUCAAAAACAGAAAAUUUUUUUGCAAAGUGAUUUCUUCAAUCGAAUAUUCUUCUGAAUUUUGAGAAAACGGCCAUUAUUCCACUAUCUUUAAAGUUUACUAUUAUUUUAGGCCUAAAACAGCCGAAACUCACUCAGUUAAAAUAUAGCCGCCUGUAUAUGUCGGCUUUUCCAUAGUUUCUCUUGGUCCUCGUCGUGUUAAGGCAAGAAGGAUUAAGAAAAAGGAGUGGGCUCCUAGAAAAGGUCCAAAGGUGUACGCUAAGUUGAUAAUCAAAUUGCUUUGUCUUGAACCCUCAUUUUAAUAUUGUUGAUGAAUAAAAAUUUAAUCUUA